AGAGAGAAAAGGAGCAGCAGGAAGAGAAAACUGGUUUGUUCAGGAACACAGUGAAGAAUGAAGCCAGUGAAAGAAGAGCUAUGAUAACUCCUGCUCUCCGAGAAGCCCUUACUAAACAAGGUUAUCAGUUGAUUGGGAGCCAUUCUGGGGUGAAGCUUUGCAGGUGGACAAAGUCAAUGCUCCGAGGGAGAGGAGGUUGCUAUAAACAUACAUUCUAUGGUAUUGAAAGCCAUCGUUGCAUGGAAACCACCCCGAGCUUAGCAUGUGCAAAUAAAUGUGUCUUCUGUUGGCGGUAAGUUAAAAUUAAUGGCCAUGGUGGCCAAAUAUGUAAU